UACGUAGGUGGCAAGCGUUGUCCGGAUUUACUGGGCGUAAAGAGCGCGCAGGCGGUCGUUCAAGUCGCGUGUGAAAGCCCCCGGCUCAACUGGGGAGGGUCACGCGAUACUGAUCGACUCGAAGGCAGGAGAGGGUAGUGGAAUUCCCGGUGUAGUGGUGAAAUGCGUAGAUAUCUGGAGGAACACCGGUGGCGAAGGCGGCAUCCUGGACCGGCAUUGACGCUGAGGAGCGAAAGCCAGGGGAGCAAACGGG
rnacentral:rRNA from 1 species